UACAGAGGUCCCAAGCGUUGUUCGGAUUCACUGGGCGUAAAGGGUGCGUAGGCGGUCGGGUAAGUCUGAUGUGAAAUCUCACAGCUUAACUGUGAAACUGCAUUGGAUACUAUUCGGCUUGAGAGUUGGAGGGGGGACUGGAAUUCUUGGUGUAGCAGUGAAAUGCGUAGAUAUCGGGAGGAACACCUGUGGCGAAAGCGGCUCUCUGGACCACAACUGACGCUGGAGGCGACGAAAGGCUAGGGGAAGCAAACAGGG
rnacentral:rRNA from 1 species